AGAACAGCGAUUCCUUAAAGCAGAUAAUUUCCCAUGAUCUGCCAUAGGCCGGGCUAACCAAUGACACUUGGCUACCUAAGACUGAGAAAACUGCUGGAAGGAGAGUUCGGCUUCAUUUCAGUAUUGGAUAAGGAAUCAAGUCCUUUGCUGAAUAGAUCUGGUUUAGGAGGGCAGAUGGAACACGCAGACCCCGGGUCUCCAAUGAAGACCUCCACCUUGCAGUCCUCCAGCACCGUUGACUUUCCAGGAUGAACCACGGCAGCAGCAGAGAGGUGUGAAGCAACCAGACAAGAAGCUCUGCAUUCUGUGGAAAGGAGAUGGUCUGCAGGACUUCUUCCCCCUUAGAGCAUUUGAGAAUUGGUGGCAGCUCAGAAAAGCAUCUGUCCCCAGGCAGCUCAUGCUUGAUGCAAGAACUGACCUGCAGCUCUCUUCCAGGACAGAGAACAAGGCUUUGGGUGCCAAACAGAUGGGCGUUUUGUUUUGUUUUGUUUUGUUUUGUCCUUACUUAUGUGAUUCUUGCUGCCAUGGCAAGUAUUCCACAUUCUAUUCCGGUUUCAUUAAAUUUAUAUCAAUUCAGGAG